rnacentral:rRNA from 1 species
UCCGGUUGAUCCUGCCAGAGGUUACUGCUAUCGAGGUCCGACUAAGCCAUGCGAGUCGAAUGUAGCAAUACAUGGCGUACUGCUCAGUAACACGUGGACAACCUACCCUUGGGACGGGGAUAAACCCGGGAAACUGGGUAUAAUACCCGAUAGAUCUCGGCUGCUGGAAUGCAUCGAGGUUGAAAGCCCCGGCGCCCAAGGAUGGGUCUGCGGCCUAUCAGGUAGUAGUGGGUGUAGCGUACCUACUAGCCUACGACGGGUACGGGUUGUGAGAGCAAGAGCCCGGAGAUGGAUUCUGAGACACGAAUCCAGGCCCUACGGGGUGCAGCAGGCGCGAAAACUUUACAAUGCCGGCAACGGCGAUAAGGGAACCUCGAGUGCCAGGUUACAAAUCUGGCUGUCGUGAUGCCUAAAAAGCAUUGCAUAGCAAGGGCCGGGCAAGACCGGUGCCAGCCGCCGCGGUAACACCGGCGGCUCGAGUGGUAACCGUUAUUAUUGGGUCUAAAGGGUCUGUAGCCGGCCGGAUAAGUCUCUUGGGAAAUCCAGCAGCUCAACUGUUGGGCUUUCAGGAGAUACUGUUCGGCUCGAGGCCGGGAGAGGUGAGAGGUACUUCAGGGGUAGGGGUGAAAUCUUGUAAUCCUUGAAGGACCACCAGUGGCGAAGGCGUCUCACCAGAACGGACCUGACGGCAAGGGACGAAAGCUAGGGGCACGAACCGGAUUAGACACCCGGGUAGUCCUAGCCGUAAACGAUACUCGCUAGGUGUCGGCCACGGUGCGACCGUGGUCGGUGCCGUAGGGAAGCCGUGAAGCGAGCCACCUGGGAAGUACGGCCGCAAGGCUGAAACUUAAAGGAAUUGGCGGGGGAGCA